GCGCCCGUAGCUCAAUGGAUAGAGCGUCUGACUUCGGAUCAGAAGGUUGGGGGUUCGAGUCCUCCCGGGCGCA
rnacentral:tRNA from 1 species